AGUGGCGGACGGGUGAGUAACGCGUGAGAAUCUAGCUUCAGGUUCGGGACAACAUUGGGAAACCGAUGCUAAUACCGGAUGUGCCGAGAGGUGAAAGGCUUGCUGCCUGAAGAAGAGCUCGCGUCUGAUUAGCUAGUUGGUGGUGUAAGGGACUACCAAGGCGACGAUCAGUAGCUGGUCUGAGAGGAUGAUCAGCCACACUGGAACUGAGACACGGUCCAGACUCCUACGGGAGGCAGCAG
rnacentral:rRNA from 1 species